rnacentral:rRNA from 1 species
GACGAACGCUGGCGGCGUGCUUAACACAUGCAAGUCGAACGCUGAAGCUCAGCUUUUGUUGGGUGGAUGAGUGGCGAACGGGUGAGUAACACGUGAGUAACCUGCCCCCUUCUUUGGGAUAACGCCCGGAAACGGGUGCUAAUACUGGAUAUUCACUGGUCUUCGCAUGGGGGUUGGUGGAAAGGGUUUUUCUGGUGGGGGAUGGGCUCGCGGCCUAUCAGCUUGUUGGUGGGGUGAUGGCCUACCAAGGCUUUGACGGGUAGCCGGCCUGAGAGGGUGACCGGUCACAUUGGGACUGAGAUACGGCCCAGACUACUACGGGAGGCAGCAGUGGGGAAUAUUGCACAAUGGGCGCAAGCCUGAUGCAGCGACGCAGCGUGAGGGAUGGAGGCCUUCGGGUUGUGAACCUCUUUCGCUCAUGGUCAAGCCGCAACAAUGGUUGUGGUGAGGGUAGUGGGUAAAGAAGCGCCGGCUAACUACGUG